AAUAUUCUGCCUUGUGCGAGCCAGUGUGAUUUUUUAUAAUCCAACACAUUAUACCAGGGAAUUCGUCUCUGACUGGGGAUUGCAGACCUCCUGUUCUUACAGACGAAGGGAGCGAGAGACUUUCAGGAGAAUACCCACCUGCCGGGAGUGCGGGUUUUAUGUAUCAUACGACGGCAAGGCGGUUUAUUU
rnacentral:other from 1 species